rnacentral:rRNA from 1 species
ACUCCUACGGGAGGCAGCAGUGGGAAUCUUGCGCAAUGGGCGAAAGCCUGACGCAGCAACGCCGCGUGGGGAUGAAGGCUCUCGGGUUGUAAACCCUUUCAGCAGGGACGAAUUUUGACGGUACCUGCAGAAGAAGCCCCGGCUAACUACGUGCCAGCAGCCGCGGUAACACGUAGGGGCGAGCGUUGUCCGGAUUUAUUGGGCGUAAAGAGCUCGUAGGUGGCUGAGUAAGUCGGAUGUUAAAUCUCCAGGCUCAACCUGGAACACCACCCGAUACUGCUCUGGCUAGAGUCCGGUAGGGGAGUGUGGAAUUCCUGGUGUAGCGGUGAAAUGCGCAGAUAUCAGGAGGAACACCAGCGGCGAAGGCGGCACUCUGGGCCGGUACUGACACUGAGGAGCGAAAGCAUGGGUAGCAAACAGGAUUAGAUACCCUGGUAGGCUCUGC